AUUGAACGCUGGCGGCAUGGCUAAAACAUGCAAGUCGAACGCGAAAGUGGAGCUUGCUCCGCGAGUAGAGUGGCGAAAGGGCGAGUAAUGCGUUUCUAACGUGCCCCAGGGCUGGGGAUAGCUCAUCGAAAGGUGAAUUAAUACCCAAUAACCCCACCGCGUCGUAUGUCGUGAUGGGCAAAGGCUUGCCGCCUUGGGAUCGGGGAACGUGCUAUCAGGUUGUUGGUGAGGUAACGGCUCACCAAGCCUAAGACGGCUAGCGGGUGUGAGAGCACGGCCCGCCGCAUCGGGACUGAGACACUGCCCGGACUCCUACGGGAGGCUGCAGUAACGAAUAUUCCGCAAUGCGCGAAAGCGUGACGGAGCAAUGCCGCGUGCAGGAUGAAGCCCCUCGGGGUGUAAACUGCUGUCAGGGUUUAGAAACACAAUGAUCAGACCCAGAGGAAGAGCCGGCUAACUCUGUG
rnacentral:rRNA from 1 species